GACGAACGCUGGCGGCGUGCCUAAUACAUGCAAGUCGAACGAACUCUGGUAUUGAUUGGUGCUUGCAUCAUGAUUUACAUUUGAGUGAGUGGCGAACUGGUGAGUAACACGUGGGAAACCUGCCCAGAAGCGGGGGAUAACACCUGGAAACAGAUGCUAAUACCGCAUAACAACUUGGACCGCAUGGUCCGAGUUUGAAAGAUGGCUUCGGCUAUCACUUUUGGAUGGUCCCGCGGCGUAUUAGCUAGAUGGUGAGGUAACGGCUCACCAUGGCAAUGAUACGUAGCCGACCUGAGAGGGUAAUCGGCCACAUUGGGACUGAGACACGGCCCAAACUCCUACGGGAGGCAGCAGUAGGGAAUCUUCCACAAUGGACGAAAGUCUGAUGGAGCAACGCCGCGUGAGUGAAGAAGGGUUUCGGCUCGUAAAACUCUGUUGUUAAAGAAGAACAUAUCUGAGAGUAACUGUUCAGGUAUUGACGGUAUUUAACCAGAAAGCCACGGCUAACUACGUGCCAGCAGCCGCGGUAAUACGUAGGUGGCAAGCGUUGUCCGGAUUUAUUGGGCGUAAAGCGAGCGCAGGCGGUUUUUUAAGUCUGAUGUGAAAGCCUUCGGCUCAACCGAAGAAGUGCAUCGGAAACUGGGAAACUUGAGUGCAGAAGAGGACAGUGGAACUCCAUGUGUAGCGGUGAAAUGCGUAGAUAUAUGGAAGAACACCAGUGGCGAAGGCGGCUGUCUGGUCUGUAACUGACGCUGAGGCUCGAAAGUAUGGGUAGCAAACAGGAUUAGAUACCCUGGUAGUCCAUACCGUAAACGAUGAAUGCUAAGUGUUGGAGGGUUUCCGCCCUUCAGUGCUGCAGCUAACGCAUUAAGCAUUCCGCCUGGGGAGUACGGCCGCAAGGCUGAAACUCAAAGGAAUUGACGGGGGCCCGCACAAGCGGUGGAGCAUGUGGUUUAAUUCGAAGCUACGCGAAGAACCUUACCAGGUCUUGACAUACUAUGCAAAUCUAAGAGAUUAGACGUUCCCUUCGGGGACAUGGAUACAGGUGGUGCAUGGUUGUCGUCAGCUCGUGUCGUGAGAUGUUGGGUUAAGUCCCGCAACGAGCGCAACCCCUAUUAUCAGUUGCCAGCAUUAAGUUGGGCACUCUGGUGAGACUGCCGGUGACAAACCGGAGGAAGGUGGGGAUGACGUCAAAUCAUCAUGCCCCUUAUGACCUGGGCUACACACGUGCUACAAUGGAUGGUACAACGAGUUGCGAACUCGCGAGAGUAAGCUAAUCUCUUAAAGCCAUUCUCAGUUCGGAUUGUAGGCUGCAACUCGCCUACAUGAAGUCGGAAUCGCUAGUAAUCGCGGAUCAGCAUGCCGCGGUGAAUACGUUCCCGGGCCUUGUACACACCGCCCGUCACACCAUGAGAGUUUGUAACACCCAAAGUCGGUGGGGUAACCUUUUAGGAACCAGCCGCCUAAGGUGGGACAGAUGAUUAGGGUG
rnacentral:rRNA from 1 species